rnacentral:lncRNA from 1 species
GCGCCCGGCACGGCGGCGGCAGCGCAGGGCUACGGCAACUUCCGCCUCACGUGGGCCCGUAGCCCCGCCCCCGCGCUAGCAUGGACCAAUCGCCGCGCGGGGGACGCCGCCGCGCUUCCGGUGUGAGCGGCCUAUGGCCACGCCCCCCCUGUGGGCGGGGCGCAUCGCCGCGCUUCCGCCCGGAGGACCUAUCGGUGCCCGCUGAGAGCGGCGGGAAACGGCGCACUUCCGGUCGGGUCGAUAACCAUGCCCCCCGUGCUGGUGUGCCGUCAUUUCCGUGGGCGGGGCCAGGUGACGUCAUAUCCGCGUUCAGGACCACGGACAGCGCUUUAAAGGCGCUUUAUUGGGGGGGGAACCGUGGGACAGCGGACAGAAGGGGGGACAGCGGGACAGAAGGGGGGACAGCGGACAGAAUAGGGGACAGUGGGACAGAAUGGGGGACAAUGGACAGAAUGGGGGACAGUGGACAGAAUGGAGGACAGCAGGACAGAAUGGAGGACAGCAGACAGAAUGGGGGACAGCGGGACAGAAUGGGGGACAGUGGGACGGAAUGGGGGACAGCGGGACGGAAUGGGGGACAGCGGACAGAAUGGGGGACAGCGGGACAGAAUGGGGGACAGCGGACAGAGCAGCAAUGCAGCACCAAGCAAUGCAGCAGAGCAGCAAUGCAGCCCCGUGCAAUGCAGCAGAGCAGCACCAUGCAAUGCAGAGCAGCGAUGCAGCAGAGCAGCAAUGCAGCACCAAAUCAAAUGCAGCACCAUGCAAUGCAGAGCAGCAAUGCAGCCCCCACGCAAUGCAGCAGAGCAGCAGUGCAGCGCCAUGCAAUGCAGCAGAGCAGCAGUGCAGCGCCAUGCAAUGCAGCAGAGCAGCAAUGCAGCCCCGUGCAACGAAUGCAGAGCAGCAAUGCAGCCCCACGCAAUGCAGCAGAGCAGCAGUGCAGCGCCAUGCAAUGCAGCAGAGCAGCAAUGCAGCCCCACGCAAUGCAGCAGAGCAGCAAUGCAGCCCCGUGCAACGCAAUGCAGCCCUGCAGUGCAGCAAUGCAUCAACGAGGCCCUGA